rnacentral:misc_RNA from 1 species
UCAAAUAGAUAUUUCACGUCGAAUAGGAAUAAAAGUAAUCCAUACAAAACUUAUAAUGCUCUUUCAGCUAAGAAAUAAUACCAAAUUGAAUCUAACAUUCUUAGGGAACAUUUUAAAUAAUCUAGUCCACGUUCAAUACUCGUAGACUAUAUAUACAAUGUUAAAAUUUUACUUGACAAAAUCUAACAUGCAAUAACAACAGUUUCAAGUCAAGUUCACCUAAAACUUCAGCAAUUUAUCAAACUUGCGUCGACUUGAUAGGAGUUCUGGGAAGAACAAAUCCAGCCCGUCUUUCCUCGAAUGAGUACUCAAUUUCUUCAGGAACCUCUUCUGCUGCACUAGCGCCAUACGAAAGUGGAGGGGCUGGUGUCAUAGCAGUCUGCAUUGAAACAGACAAUGUCGAAGGUGGUGUUGACACAGGAAUUGGCAUGACCCUAGGAGUCCUAUUCUCUUCAUCUGCGACACAAGUCUUCAAAGGGGUAGUAGCAAGGAAGGACAGUUCAUUAAUUCCAAGUGUCUUCUUAGUCGUAUCGGUAUGUGCUGCGGUCACAUCUUCUAAUACGUUAGCUUUUGAUGAUCCUGUAGAAGAAAUUGGUGAGAAAGGUUUCCGAAGCAUUGGUGACUCUGGUUCAUGAGCAUUUACAGUAUUGAAGGAACGUAUUUUUGCAGGAAGACCAGCAAUAUCCGACCCUCUCCUACCUAUGUAACAGCCAAAAGAAAAUGACAAAAAAAAUUAAAUAAAGAACUUGCCAAGCAAAUAUCAGACACCCUUGGUACUCUUUAAACAUCCGACCAAAUGUCUGAUCCUUGCCGCAUUCAUAUUUUUCUUUUCUUCAAAACCAUCAUUAGUCCAUGUUAUUGUGGUUUAAAAAUACAAUUUUUAACAAGUUUUAUAGUUUUCUUAAUAGAAUGUUUGAUAAGUAAACAAAGGCUUUAUUUUUCUACAGGUUUUGGAGAGACAGAAACCUACUUCAACAAUCAACAACUUAGAAAAUUGACAACAACCAGCUGGCGUUCUUUCCACACCCCAAGGGGAGAGUGUCGGGCCAUUAUUGCUUGGUUUCAAUUAUAUCAUCUUCCACGAGACAGAAAAAGGAAAAUGAAAAUGUUUAGUGAAGAUUUUGUGGGCGAAAAACUACUUGGUGAACCUGUAACUUCACAUUGUAAAAGAACUUACCAGCUGAUAAUGUUGCAAAGCUAUCAUCAUGCAGCUUAUUUAAAGGGUCAUAUUGGUGAAAUCGGUCAACUUUCUUGCCAGGAUGUGAAUGCUGUGUAGCUUUGCUGGUGUUAGUUAAAUCAGGUUUAGGAGUUUGGAGCAUUGCUCCUCCAAGGGAGAGUCUUCUGUUGCUUGCGCCUCCAGCUGAAACUCUGGGAGCUUUUCUCACAUUUUGUGUCUUUGAAGGGCUUGGUUUUGACCCAUAAAGUGCCUCCUGCUCUGCUAUCAGCUGUCCCUGCAAUUUCUUCUGAUCCCGCUGGCUCUGCCUUUCUUCCUCUUUCUCCUGUCUUAAUAUGGUAUACUCCUCAAGCAUAGAAAGAAGGCGAAUCUGUAAAAUUUAUAAGUGAUUCAGCUAAACUUUCGGCACAAUAGAGUUUGGCACCAAAGGAGUGGGUGAAAACAAAAACUCAAGACCUAAACUAGUUUGGUUCAUUAAAUGUCAAGUCAUUCCAUGUUCAUGAAAUAAUUAUUCUUUGCUUAUGUGUUGAAUUUAUAUCCCAAUAAUAAAAACAAUAAAUAUUCUUUGUAAUAAUAAUCACAAAUUUUAAAAUCUGAUUAAAAAUUUAAAUUGUAAAAUAGCAUUUCCUGGAAUAGGAUUCUAUGUUCAAAAUUUGAAUCGAAGCUAGGAAUAACUAAUUUAUUCCCAUCUUAUUCCAUUUCAUUCCUUGAACCAAAGUAUGCCUAAGAAGUACGAGAAUUACACCAUCGUACAAAAACUCAAUGCCUCUCUCUUUUUCCCAUGCCAUGGUUUUUGAAGCCAAUGCCUCCACCAUACCUGGAACAACGUGAAAAAGGCAAAUUACUAAGAGAUGUGGAACCAGACUAUCUUAAAAUAAUGUUCACGAUAAUUGUGUGUUGCAAGGUGUAGAAAGCUUGUUAACAUUCAAGUCAAGAUAUAAAACCUAUAAAGGCCCAAUUUUGCCUCCAUAAAUCCUCCUGGGAAAACAAAUUAAAUAUAAAAAGCAGCCUCUACAUUAGUUUAUAGGAUGUUCAGGUAUGAUGUCCCAAAAAUAGAAUUCAGGUGAUGCUAUCUGCCUAUCACAUUUGUCAACAGUAGGAAGGGCAUAUACCUGGAAGCUUAUUAACCAAAGAACGAGCUUUUUCUGCACGUUUAAGAGUAAGAUGAGUUCCUCUACCAGCAUUGUAUCGGUUCUCAUCCCCUCAAGCCAGCACUCCUCAUCACAUGCAGCCAACCAUUUCUCAAUCUUUUCAAGGAUUUCCUUCCGGCAAAAAGCUUCUUCCUUAACUUUAGCUAUUUGAAGUUCAAUCUGCUCAAGGACACUUGCAGGGUCCACAUUAUCUGCAGACCCUAUGGCUUCUAUGGCAUACUCCAUUGCAGUAUCUUCUUCUGGUGCCAUAUGAGUCUUUCUGCAGACCUCUUCCAGCUCUGACCUCUUCUUCAGAACAAGAUCUUUCAUCUUGCUUGAUUUCAACUCUUCUAACCGACAGACUUCUGCCUCAACAUAAUUGAUGAAGUCCACAGAUAGAGUGUUUGGUUCAGUGAUUUCAUGUUCUGAAGCUGCUAUUUUACAUGUAACAUUCUGGAACAUUUGCUGCUCUUCAAUUGGAGUAUCCAUCAAAUUCCAUAGCUCCAACAUUGUAGUUGCAAGAUCUUGGAGCUUCUGCAUUCUUUGGAUUUUGAUCUCUCGCAACUUGAGAAUUGCAGUAGCCAAAUGCUGAAUUGUAUCAGUAUUUAUGUUCCUUGAUCCUUCAUUAUCACCAAAACUUGAAUGAAUCUCACUAACAGUGUGCUUGAAAUCCAUACCAAGCACUAAGCAAAGUGAGUUUAAAGUAUCUAGAUACUCCUGAAGCUGCAUCAAGCGAUCACUCUUCUCUUUUUGAAGUGCAUGCAGCUGUCUCUGCAACUCUUCCAGUUUUCUCAAUGAAAGAUCAGCUUCAUCAACAAAUAUAUGAACGGCAGAUCCAUAUAUCUCAUUUGAGAUCUUCUGUAUUUCCUCCAAAACUUCAAGGAAUUGACUUCUUCUAUCUAAUUUCCUCUUCCGCAUCUCGUCAAGCUGUGGAAGAAUCCUUUGCAGUUCUUCCUUCAAGCUUCCAGCAUUUUGAUCAGCCUGCCUAAUAUGUACAGGUCGCUCUCCCAUAGCAGAACAUAUAGCCGCAAGUUCAGCUUCAGAAUCAGCAAUGGUUUGCCUUAACUGAGCUCUAUUCCUGUUUGCCUGAUCCACCUUUCUUCUGUAUACUUCAAGACACUCUUGUUCAAGCUCAAGCAGCAUUCUAUCUCUAUCAAUAUUUAACUCCCCAACCUCAUCCCAAAUGAUCUUAUUUUCAUGAUAGAAUACAACAAAAAAAAAAAAGUUUAGUAUCUAAACUAAGCAAAGGAGUAGAUUGUAUCUUUUAUCUUAAAAUUUUAUAAACUUGCAAUUCAUAAAGGAGGGAUCCACAGGUCGUUUCCACUUGCAGAAGUGGAUCAUUCUGAAGAUUAGACAUGUUAAUAGAAACUGUGCCUGAGCAAUAAAGAGAGAUGCGGCAAAGUACUUCCGGUCAAAUUUCCUUUCUCAGGAGCACGAAUGUAAAUUUUCUCGAGAAAAUUGAGUUUGUUUCCAGGAAAAUACGAGAAAUAAGUUCAGAAUUUUAUGCAAAACGAUUGAGAGAGAGAGAGCCGUUUAAGGAUAAAUGGACCGUUAGAAGAACGGGUGUUAAGGAUUUUCCUAUUGAUGGUAAGCAUUAAGGAUUUUUUGAAACCAAAGAUGAUUUGAAAUUCAAAAUUUCCAUCAGCUGAAGGAUGCCAUUCUAUAAGUUAGGUAAAU